rnacentral:ncRNA from 1 species
AGGUGGGGACGACGUCAAGUCAUCAUGGCCCUUACGUCCGGGGCUACACACGUGCUACAAUGGCCGAUACAGCGGGCAGCUACCUGGCAACAGGAUGCGAAUCUCGAAAAGUCGGUCACAGUUCGGAUCGGGGUCUGCAACUCGACCCCGUGAAGUUGGAUUCGCUAGUAAUCGCGUAUCAGCAAUGACGCGGUGAAUACGUUCCCGGGCCUU